rfam:Paraphaeosphaeria sporulosa strain AP3s5-JAC2a unplaced genomic scaffold CC84scaffold_7, whole genome shotgun sequence.
GCGGUGAUAGCUCAGUGGUAGAGCAGCGGACUGCAGUACUCAUACUCGUGGUUUCCGAAGGUCACCAGUUCAAACCUGGUUCACCGCU